rnacentral:rRNA from 1 species
UACGGAGGGGGCAAGCGUUGUUCGGAAUUACUGGGCGUAAAGGGCGCGCAGGCGGCUGCUCAAGUCAGGCGUGAAAGGCCUGGGCUCAACCCGGGAAUUGCGCUUGAGACUGGGCUGGCUUGAGUGCGGGAGAGGAUGGUGGAAUUCCCAGUGUAGAGGUGAAAUUCGUAGAUAUCAAGAGGAACACCUGCGGCGAAGGCGGGUUGCUGGGCCGACACUGACGCUGAGGCGCGAAAGCCAGGGGAGCGAACGGG